rnacentral:tRNA from 1 species
UGCAUAGUAGUUUAAUUCAGAACUCUAAUUUUGUAAAUUAGAAGUGGAGUAAUAAUAUCGUCCCUCAUCCAA